rnacentral:rRNA from 1 species
AACCCUAUUAUUACGUUGUCCAUCAUUCAGUUGGGCACUCUAGCGAGACUGCCGGUAAUAAACCGGAGGAAGUGGGGAUGACGUCAAAUCAUCAUGCCCUUAUGACCUGGGCUACACACGUGCUACAAUGGUUGGUACAACGAGUUGCGAGUCGGUGACGGCGAGCUAAUCUCUUAAAGCCAAUCUCAGUUCGGAUUGUAGGCUGCAACUCGCCUACAUGAAGUCGGAAUCGCUAGUAAUCGCGGAUCAGCACGCCGCGGUGAAUACGUUCCCGGGCCUU